GGGCCCAAGGGAGAGCAGGACUGAGCAGAAAGAAAAGGUGGUUAGGUGAAGAGGGAACCAUGAUAAGAUCCAUCUGCUCCUGGAUCCACCCAUGCCUGACAUCCUGAUACUUUCCCCAGACCCUUCAGUUAAAAUGUUUUCAUCAUCCUAAACAGCAACUCUGUGCCCAUUAAACAACAGCUCCCUCAUCUCCCCUCUCUCCAGCCCUCUCCAGCAACUACCACUUCUACUUUCUGUCUACGAGUUUGACUACUCUGGGAACCUCGUAUACUCAUACGGUAUUUGUCCUUUUGUGUCUGGCUGAUGUCACUGAGCAUAAGAUCUCCGAGGUUCAUCCAUUUGCA